AUGUUACAAAAUAUAAGAAUGAGAGUUCAGGUUACAAGGGCAGAUCUAAAUUGGAAAACCAUUUAUGAGCGACAAUUAAGUUGACAAAGUUAAAGCCCACUAUUCAAAUCGUCCGCACCUUUGAGAGGGCAGUUCACAAAACAUACAUCAUGAACCACACAUAGACACAUCUGAAUUUCAUAGAAGAAUAAAGAAGAUGGAUUAAAAUAAAAAUCCUACAAGUUUAUAGAGGUAUGUACCUAAAUGCUUGGGCAACAGUACUCCAAAAAGAAACCAAAUGAAAGCAAGAAUGAAGGAUGGAGAUCAACAGAAACAGCACAGCAAAAUCGCAACGCAGCAACAAUACUCCCACACGUCUACAGAUAUUGAGAUUUAGACAGCAAAGUUGUAUUUUCUGUCCUCAAAUGCUUGAUCUGAGAAAGCAUGUCCUUCACAAAUCGAGCAGUUUCAUUUUGUCAGGCCCCGUACCUGGGGGCGAGACCGGCACCUAGUGCCUCACCUAUCCCUGCGUACCAACUUGCAACUAAGGGACUCUGAACAUAUGAUGUCAUACUUUAGCCAUAGGCCACAUUGCAAGAUAACUACGAAUGCUGACUAAAUGUCAAUAUAAAACUGGGCUGACAAGGCCGUCAUAACUAUUACAGCUGACAAACCAACCAAAUAUACAUACAACGCCUGCAAGUCCAACAUAUUGGACUAACUGACAGGAUAUGUCUACAAGCCUCUACUGAUGGAUGUACUAUGAUCGGAACAGCUCCCCGACCUACUCAUAACAUAUAUACAUAUAUAUACAAGAUGUAUAUAAGGCUCUAAACCUGGAAACUCCGAAAGGCAUGGAGCUUACUGAUCAAGCUGAACUUGGGCAAAACUUAUUGAAGAGGCCUACCCGUCUGUCUGUCUGACCUGCACCCAUGAAAUGCAGCGCCCCCAAAAAGGGACGCCAGUACGAAAUAAUGUACUGAGUAUGUAAGACAAUAUACUGAAAGCUGAAAUUGAACUGAUAAUAUAAUAACUGCAAGUAGCUGGAAGUCAAAAAUAAUCUGAAGAUAUGCUUAUCUGCUGAUACUGACUCAACUCUCUCAAUAUAGUAAGUAAAAUAGUUGUCCAGCCCUAUAAGGCUCGGUAUAUAUAUAACUGCUCUGCCGUAGUAGGCUCGCUCAUAGUCGCUCGACCAUACUAGGCUCUGUAUCUCGACCAAUUGGGCUCGCUCAUAAGCGCUCGACCACAGUAGGUUCGGUAUAUAUAUAUAACUGCUUCGCCGUAGUAGGCUCGCUCAUAGGCGCUCGACCAUACUAGGCUCUGUAUCUCGACCAACUGGGCUCGCUCAUAAGUGCUCGACCAUAGUAGGCUCGGUAUAUAACUUACCAUCUGAUUAGAGGUUGCCCAAUAGAGGCCUGCCCAUCGAUUAUAGCUCGAUGGUAAUGAAAAUACUUUAAUAAUGUAUAUAUAAAUUAUUUGCUCUCUUGACUAGAAGAAGGAAAUACUCAAUUGAAUAUGAAGCCCCGAUAAAGAGAAUAGUGUAACUUACAGAACUAGAAAAAUAUACAUAAAUUCUGGGAUAAGGAUUUUUCUUUAUGCUUCAUUUUUCAAACGCGUGUAAUUACGAGAUCAUGUCAAAAUGAAAGAAAGGUCUAGCCUUAACAUACCUGAGUCGAUUCUCUUGACAAUCCCUCUAACAUACAUUAAUUGCGACAAAAUACGGAACAAAUCAUAUGAAAAGCUUGAAGCAAGUACAAAUUCUCGGAAGAAAAUGACCCGGAACACUGACGAAACCUAACCCGGCUAGGAUAGCAGUGGAACUUGACAAACACCCGAGAAAUUGCACAACCAACUUUAGUCAGUACCACACAAAUUCCAUCACAGAGAACCUUUUUCCAACAUUGGCUAAUGAAUUUUGACUUGGUACCACAUGGGAAGCCUCACAAAACAGUAUAAUAUCGUAGUACUGAUGCUCAUGCUUUCUUAUGCAAAUUUGCUAGAAAGAAAGAAGAGGUCUUUUAACGUUGAAGAAUUAUCCCUUAUUAACUUUUGAGGCACUGCUCACAAAAGCAUUUCUUAUAAGUAAA
rnacentral:lncRNA from 1 species